GAAAAUGUUCGGAUAUUUCAGUUUGGGCCCGACCUGAAGCAGAUCUCUUUUCCAGUUUUUUUUUUUUUUCAGAUCUGCUCCGAGAAAUCGGAGAUCUGCAGAAAAUAGCAGCCCUGGCUCUGCUCACCGCCAGCAGCGUCAUGGCCAACCCAAGGCUCUUGCUGGUGUUGGCACCCACUGCUCUGCAGUGAGGCAGCAAUUCCUCCCGCAUGACACGGCAGGGACCGGUCCAGCACCCGAAAAGUGUCUCUUCUGAAAUGCGACAGUCUCUGGUCAGGUCUCCAAUGCCAUAGGGGAAGGGCAUGUCAUCUUCCUUCCCAUACCAUCUUGUAUCACGCACCCAAGGGCUGGUGUUGGGAAUCCUACCGUUGGCUGUGACUCCAAGCAUGUCUCAGGAUUUGAGGCUCUCUGGGUGCAAACGUUUGAGACAAUUCUAGCACAAAAGUGUGCACGCUUUUUGGGUGAUGAGCGCCGUCAAAACUCUGAACUUUGAUUUCAGCACCGUCCAUCGGAGUGGGGGGGGAAC
rnacentral:lncRNA from 1 species